GAGCAGAUGAUGUAAAACACUAGAUCACUGAGAUCAUUUUGGUCUUUGAUGUCUAACAAAUCGAGCUUUUUAAAACUGAUGCUUA
rnacentral:snoRNA from 1 species